rnacentral:rRNA from 1 species
AUUGAACGCUGGCGGCAUGCCUAACACAUGCAAGUCGAACGGCAGCACGGCAGUAGCAAUACUGUGGGUGGCGAGUGGCGGACGGGUGAGGAAUACGUCGGAAUCUGCCCAGUCGUGGGGGAUAACUAGCCGAAAGGUUAGCUAAUACCGCAUACGACCGAGAGGCGAAAGCGGGGGACCGCAAGGCCUCGCGCGAUUGGAUGAGCCGACGUCGGAUUAGCUAGUUGGAGGGGUAAAGGCCCACCAAGGCGACGAUCCGUAGCUGGUCUGAGAGGAUGAUCAGCCACACUGGAACUGAGACACGGUCCAGACUCCUACGGGAGGCAGCAGGUAGGGAAUAGUUAGGAACAAGUGGGCGACGAACGUCC